GGAUGCCUUGGCACUAGGAGCCGAUGAAGGACGUGAUAAGCUGCGAUAAGCUUCGGGGAGUUGCACGUAAACUUUGAUCCGAAGAUUUCCGAAUGAGGAAACUCACUUAGAGUAAUGUCUAAGUAUCAUUAAGUGAAUACAUAGCUUAAUGAGGGGAACUCAGGGAACUGAAACAUCUAAGUACCUGAAGGAAGAGAAAGAAAUUCGAUUCCGUAAGUAGCGGCGAGCGAACGCGGAUUAGCCCAAACCAAUAAAGUUUUCUUUAUUGGGGUUGCGGACAUAUCAUAACGAAGAGGUAUCGUAAUUGAAGAGGUUUGGAAAGACCCACCACAGAAGGUAAUAGUCCUGUAUGUUAAACGAGAAGACUUCAGAUAUGAUCCAGAGUACCACGGGACACGUGAAACCCUGUGGGAAGCAGGAGGGACCACCCUCCAAGGCUAAAUACUACCUAGUGACCGAUAGCGUAUAGUACCGUGAGGGAAAGGUGAAAAGAACCCCGGGAGGGGAGUGAAAUAGAACCUGAAACCCUGCACUUACAAGCUGUGGAAGCACAUUUCUUGUGUGACCGCGUACUUUUUGUAGAACGGGCCAACGAGUUACGUUAAGUAGCAAGGUUAAGCACUUAAGGUGCGGAGCCGUAGCGAAAGCGAGUUUUAACUGAGCGUUCAGUUACUUGACGUAGACCCGAAACCGGGCGACCUACCCAUGAGCAGGAUGAAGCGAAAGUAAAAUUUCGUGGAGGUCCGAACCCACGAGCGUUGAAAAGCUCGGGGAUGACUUGUGGGUAGCGGUGAAAUUCCAAUCGAGCCCGGAGAUAGCUGGUUCUCCCCGAAAUAGCUUUAGGGCUAGCCUCAAGGUGAGAGAUACGGAGGUAGAGCACUGAAUGUCCUAGGGGGUAUUGCACCUACCGAAGACUAUCAAACUCCGAAUGCCGUCAUCUUAUACUUGGGAGUCAGACUGUGGGUGAUAAGAUUCAUAGUCGAAAGGGCAACAGCCCAGAUCGUCAGCUAAGGUCCCUAAAUGUAAGUUAAGUGGUAAAGGAUGUGGGAUUGCACAGACAACCAGGAUGUUGGCUUAGAAGCAGCCACUCAUUCAAAGAGUGCGUAAUAGCUCACUGGUCGAGUGAUCCUGCGCCGAAGAUUUCCGGGGCUAAAACUUACUACCGAAGCUACGGCAUCAGUAAUGAUGGGUAGGGGAGCUUCCCAUACGGGUUGAAGCAUGACCGUAAGGACAUGUGGACAGUAUGGGAGUGAGAAUGUUGGCAUGAGUAGCGAGAUGUGGGUGAGAAUCCCACAGGCCGUAAACCCAAGGUUUCCAGGGGAAGGUUCGUCCGCCCUGGGUUAGUCGGGACCUAAGCUGAGGCCGAAAGGCGUAGGUGAUGGACAACAGGUUGAUAUUCCUGUACUACCGAUAACCGUUUGAGAGAAGGGAUGACACAGUAGGAUAAGCUAAGCACACUGUUGGUUAUGUGUGCCCAAGCAUUGAGGCAGUCAAAGUAGGCAAAUCCGCUUUGAUAAUGCUGGGAUGUGAUGGGGAGCGAAAUUUAGUAGCGAAGUAGCUGAUUUCACACUGUCAAGAAAAGUCUCUAUCGAGGUUAAAGGUACCCGUACCGCAAACCGACACAGGUGGGUGAGGAGAGUAUCCUAAGGCCAGCGAGAGAACUGUUGUUAAGGAACUCGGCAAAAUGACCCCGUAACUUAGGGAUAAGGGGUGCCACCAUCAGGUGGCCGCAGAGAAUAGGCCCAAGCGACUGUUUACCAAAAACAUAGGUUUCUGCUAAGUCGCAAGACGAUGUAUAGGAGCUGACGCCUGCCCGGUGCUGGAAGGUUAAGGGGAUCUGUUAGAGCAAUCGAAGCAGUGAACUUAAGCCCCAGUAAACGGCGGCCGUAACUAUAACGGUCCUAAGGUAGCGAAAUUCCUUGUCGGGUAAGUUCCGACCCGCACGAAAGGCGUAACGAUUUGGGCACUGUCUCAACAACAGACUCGGUGAAAUUGUAAUUCCGGUGAAGAUGCCGGAUACCUGCGACAGGACGGAAAGACCCCAUGGAGCUUUACUGUAGCUUGACAUUGGGUCUUGGUACUACAUGUACAGGAUAGGUGGGAGGCUUUGAAACCAGGACGCCAGUUUUGGCGGAGCCAUCCUUGGGAUACCACCCUUGUAGUACUGGGACUCUAACCAUAGGCCAUGAAUCUGGUCUUGGGACACUGUCAGGUGGGCAGUUUGACUGGGGCGGUCGCCUCCCAAAAGGUAACGGAGGCGCUCAAAGGUUCUCUCAGUACGGUCGGAAAUCGUACGUAGAGUGUAAAGGCAAAAGAGAGCUUGAUUGCAAGACAUACAGGUCGAGCAAGGAUGAAAAUCGGACUUAGUGAUCCGGUGGUUCUGCGUGGAAGGGCCAUCGCUCAACGGAUAAAAGCUACCCUGGGGAUAACAGGCUUAUCUCCCCCAAGAGUCCACAUCGACGGGGAGGUUUGGCACCUCGAUGUCGGCUCAUCACAUCCUGGGGCUGUAGUAGGUCCCAAGGGUUGGGCUGUUCGCCCAUUAAAGUGGUACGCGAGCUGGGUUCAGAACGUCGUGAGACAGUUCGGUCCCUAUCCGUCGCAGGCGUAGGAAAUUUGAGAAGACCUGUCCUUAGUACGAGAGGACCGGGAUGGACGUACCUCUGGUGUACCAGUUGUCCUGCCAAGGGCAUGGCUGGGUAGCUAUGUACGGAAUGGAUAAGCGCUGAAAGCAUCUAAGCGCGAAGCCAACUUCAAGAUAAGAUUUCCCACCGCAAGGGUAAGACCCCAGAAAGACUAUCUGGUUGAUAGGUCGAAGGUGUAAGUGCAGUAAUGUAUUUAGCUUAUCGAUACUAAUAGGUCGAGGACUUGACCAA
rnacentral:rRNA from 1 species